rnacentral:lncRNA from 1 species
CUCAGCUCUGUGUCAGAGUCACAAUCUCCUUCACUCAUCAUCACUGCAUGUUUGCCUCUCUCACCUCCAAUCUGCCAGGCCAAACCCAAGCUCUCUUUGGGUUGCCAUGGCAACUCACUUUACCACUACAUUUACCUUGACCCUAGAGCCAAGGGACUGAAGUCUAGGCUUGCAAAUCUUUGGGAUGGCCAUCAAUGAAGCUAGCAAACAGGCUGGACAUGCAGGAAUUUGGAGCGGGGCUCAGGGGAAGGGAGAAAGCUUCUAGGUGGAGGAGAACGAAGCAGAGUGUGCAUAAGUGGGCAGAACCCAGAGAGACAGAGGGCAUAGAGACAUUCCAGAGAGGCCAGCUAGUGCAACGGGGAAAGCCGUAAACAGAUAUGACAUCAUCUGCUCACUCAGGGGUAAGGUUAUAUCCUAUGCUGGGAAGCAUCACAGGGCCAAGCAGCAGGACAGAGAGAACAAAGCGGUUUCCUUUCUGACAUCUUCUAGUGCUCCAGUCACUGCUGGAGAAGAAAUACUGAUUUUGUGAAGAGAAGCCCUUACCUACCUGUGCCCUCGUGUGACUUUGCUGGGUCUGGCAGCUGCUUUCCUGCCAAUCGAUGGGAAGUGGCUACUGACUGAUGCUAGCUUUCACUGGUAACGGGAAAGUCAACAGCCUCUGGCCCGUUCUGUGAAGGACAAAAGCAGAAAAGUGCUCAGAAUCCUAAACAGGAAAACAGAUCAAAAGAAGGGUGGGACAUCCAGGAGACAGAGACAAGGGGUAAUUAGCUGUUCUGCUCCCUAAAAGGUAGGACCUAGGCAGUCUUUGCUGCUCAGAGCCAGGUCAAUGAGCAGCUGCUGCUGAGCUCAAAAUAAAAUUGAAAAACUGAGGAACUACCACCCUCUCUGGAGCAAGAGAAUGCAGGAACAGCUCAGCUUGGAUUAGGGCUUGAAGCUAUGAAACCCAAAGAAAAUGCCAAUUUCUUAGCACAGCAGAGGAAACAGGACUGGUCUGAUAUGGGAUCAGGCUGGCUUUGGGGAGCUGGACCAACGCUCACAGAGCUGAAACCUCUUCUGCAAAAGACACAUGCAGGAUGAUGCAUCUCUCCAGUACGUCUGCAAUGCCCACCUGGAAGCCAA